rfam:Tupaia chinensis contig13790, whole genome shotgun sequence.
UCAUCCUGGCCGGUGCUUUUUCCGCUCCACUCUGCUGUCUUAGCAGGGUAGCCUGUCGGGGCGCACAGCAGUACCCCUCUUAGUUUAGGAGGGUUGUACUAAGAAUAGGGCCAACUCUUAAAGGCAUGACAGGACAGU